CGCGGGGUGUAGCAGCCUGGUAGCUCGUCGGGCUCAUAACCCGAAGGUCGUCGGUUCAAAUCCGGCCCCCGCAACCA
rnacentral:tRNA from 1 species